UACAGAGGGUGCAAGCGUUAAUCGGAAUUACUGGGCGUAAAGCGUGCGCAGGCGGUGAUGUAAGACAGAUGUGAAAUCCCCGGGCUCAACCUGGGACCUGCAUUUGUGACUGCAUCGCUAGAGUACGGUAGAGGGGGAUGGAAUUCCGCGUGUAGCAGGUGAAAUGGCGUAGAUAUGCGGAGGAACACCGGAUGGCGAAGGCAAUCCCCUGGACCUGUACUGCGCUC
rnacentral:rRNA from 1 species